GAUAAAUUUUAUCAUUUGAGUAAUUUAUUUUGAAUUUAUUUUACAUGCAAAUUUUAGUGUUAGUUUUUAAUUAUUUUAAUAAUAAUUUAAUAUUUAUGCAGUAAAUAGAUUUAAAUAUUUAAGAAAUUAAGAUUUAGUAAUAUUUAAAUUAAUAACAAAUUUUGUGCCAGCAGUUGCGGUUAUACAAAAGUUAAAUUGAAUUUUUUCAGUAUAUAAUAAAUAAAAUAAAUAUUAAAUUAAAUAUUAAAUUAUUAAGUGAAAUUUUAAUUUAAUGAAAUUUUAUAAAGAAAUUAUGAUUUAAUAAAUUUAUAAAUAAACUAGGAUUAGAUACCCUAUUAUAUAAUUUUAAAUAAUAAAUACUAAAAUAGUAUGUAAUUAUUUAUUGAAACUUAAAUAAAUUGGCGGUAUUUUAGUUCAUUUAGAGGAAUCUGUUUAAUAAUUGAUAAUCCACGAAUAAAUUUACUUAAUUAAUUAAUUUUGUAUAUCGUUGUUAAAAAAAUAUUUUUUAAUAAAAUUAAUAUUUAAGAAUUAAUUAGAUAAUUUAAAUCAGAUCAAGAUGCAGAUUAUAAUUAAGAAUAUAAUGGAUUACAAUAAAUUUAUUUAAAUGAAUGUUAUUAUGAAAAAAUAAUUGAAAGUGGAUUUAAAUGUAAUUUUAUUUAAUUUAUUAAAAUGAUUAAAAAUUAAAAUAUGUACAUAUUGCCCGUCACUUUCAUUUAAAAAUUGAAAUAAGUCGUAACAAAGUAGAGGUACUGGAAAGUGUUUCUAGAAUGAA
rnacentral:rRNA from 1 species